rnacentral:rRNA from 2 species
AAGUCGAGCGAUGAAACUUUAACAGAACCCUUCGGGGCGAAGAUAAAGUGGAUUAGCGGCGGACGGGUGAGUAACACGUGAGUAACUUGCCUUAGACAUUGGGAUAGCCUCGGGAAACCGGGAUUAAUACCAAAUAAAAUCAUAAUGACACAUGUCAUAACGAUCAAAACUCCGGUGGUCUAAGAUGACUCGCGUCCCAUUAGCUAGUUGGUAGAGUAAAAGCCUACCAAGGCGACGAUGGGUAGCCGGCCUGAGAGGGUGAACGGCCACAUUGGAACUGAGAAACGGUCCAAACUCCUACGGGAGGCAGCAGUGGGGAAUAUUGCACAAUGGAGGGAACUCUGAUGCAGCGACGCCGCGUGAACGAAGAAGGCUUUCGAGUCGUAAAGUUCUUUUAUAUGGGAAGAUAAUGACGGUACCAUAAGAAAAAGCCCCGGCUAACUACGUGCCAGCAGCCGCGGUAAUACGUAGGGGGCUAGCGUUGUCCGGAAUCACUGGGCGUAAAGGGUUCGCAGGCGGAAAUGCAAGUCAGAUGUAAAAGGCAGUAGCUUAACUACUGUAAGCAUUUGAAACUGCAUAUCUUGAGAAGAGUAGAGGUAAGUGGAAUUUUUAGUGUAGCGGUGAAAUGCGUAGAUAUUAAAAAGAAUACCGGUGGCGAAGGCGACUUACUGGGCUCAUUCUGACGCUGAGGAACGAAAG